UUUGAAAGAAGAGAAAUAUGGCUCUGUUCAACCCGGCCCACUGGCAGCCAGAGUUUAAGGUUAUCUCCCUUGUUCCCUGAAAUUGCUGUUAUCCUGUUCUUUUUUCAAGGUGCCCAGGUUUCAUAUUGUUUAAACAACUUGUGCAGUUAACGCAAUUAUCACAGGGUCCUGCGGGGACAUUCAUCCUCAGCUUACGAAGAUGAGAUCACCACAGUCACUUUUAGAACCUUUCAUUACCCUAUAGAGAAAUCCAUACCCCUUAGCCACUACCUCCUACUCUCCCCACCUACCUUUG
rnacentral:lncRNA from 1 species